rnacentral:rRNA from 1 species
CCUACGGGAGGCUGCAGUCGAGAAUCAUUCACAAUGGGGGAAACCCUGAUGGUGCGACGCCGCGUGGGGGAAUGAAGGUCUUCGGAUUGUAAACCCCUGUCAUGUGGGAGCAAAUUAAAAAGAUAGUACCACAAGAGGAAGAGACGGCUAACUCUGUGCCAGCAGCCGCGGUAAUACAGAGGUCUCAAGCGUUGUUCGGAAUCACUGGGCGUAAAGCGUGCGUAGGCUGUUUAGUAAGUCGUGUGUGAAAUGCGCGGGCUCAACCCGCGGACGGCACAUGAUACUGCGAGACUAGAGUGAUGGAGGGGGAAGCGGAAUUCUCGGUGUAGCAGUGAAAUGCGUAGAUAUCGAGAGGAACACUCGUGGCGAAGGCGGGUUCCUGGACAUUAACUGACGCUGAGGCACGAAGGCCAGGGGAGCGAAAGGGAUUAGAUACCCCUGUAGUC